UCAGAAGAAGUCGGUGUAAAUUAUACACCACCUCCCGACUUGGUGUAGGAUUUGAGCGCAGCGCACACCCACAUUGGGAUUGAUAAAUGUGAAACCAGCAGUGACUUUUUCCAUACACCUCAUCUACGCACGGAUUUUGCCAUAUGCAAUGUUGAUAAAGGAGGGCCAAUGUGAG